rnacentral:tRNA from 1 species
GCGGCCAGCGGCUGGCCGGCGCGGGCCCGCACCGCUUCAAGCGGCGCGGUUUCCUCGUGGAAGCGGCGUUGCAGACGGCUCUGGCCGUU